rnacentral:lncRNA from 1 species
UCAUUUUCAGCAACAGCAGCCACAAGGGCUGCUUCAUCUUCUCCUUUGCUCCUCACACCGAAAUCAAGCAACAACGUCAACGGCGCGCCUCUUCUGGUAAGAGUCUUCCCUCCUUCUCUUUAUUUUAUGUUUUGCACACCCAGAAAAAAGAAAAAAAACAAAGAAAUAUCGAAGAAAGCGAUAAAAAUUGAAGAUAAUCACCUUUCGAAAUUGAACUGCUAUGUUUUUAUUCCUUUUGUAUUUCGUUUUACACUGACUUCUUUCUCUCCUUUUUUUUGUUCAAUCCCCCCUUGUUACAAAAAUCAAUUCCUUUUUAUCUCCCUCUCUUCCCUUUUACCAUUUGCUGUCUGUACUGCCACUUAAAUCCAUUUUUCGCAGGUAUGGAGAUCGUGGAGGGCGACGUGGGUGAUGGACGGUUGCUGUAACGUGAGGAUGACGUGCGAUGCUAACUGCUGUUAGCCACUGCUUAGAGUUAGGCUGGGAUUUGGGUUAGUGACUUGGGCUUGUAAUGGGUUUGGGCUUUAGGCUUAGUUGAGUCCGGGUCAAAAAUUGGAUAUUUCGAUUAUUUUCUCGAGAAUCAUGAAGGCCAAGUAUUUAUUUUUCAAUAAGAUCAUACAAAUUUCAAAUAAAAGCUUAUUCUCGGGAAUUCAAAAAUGUCGGGUCCUAACUUACUGGUCAUGAAAUUUCGUCCUCUCGAAAUAAGAAUUUCUAAAACAAAAGGCAAUAUUCAGUAUUUGGGAUUUUGAGAAAUUGUGCCCUAACGUAUUG